UGCCGGUUGGUUUUAACCAUAACUGGGU
rnacentral:piRNA from 1 species